rnacentral:rRNA from 1 species
CCCUUAGAUGUUCGGGGCCGCACGCGCGCUACACUGAAGGAAUCAGCACGUCUUUCUCCUUGUCCGAAAGGACUGGGUAACCCGCUGAACCUCCUUCGUGCUAGGGAUUGGGGCUUGUAAUUCUUCCCCAUGAACGAGGAAUUCCCAGUAAGCGCGAGUCAUAAGCUCGCGUUGAUUACGUCCCUGCCCUUUGUACACACCGCCCGUCGCGACUACCGAUUGGAUGGUUUAGUGAGAUCCUCGGAUUGGUCCCGGCGCGGCCUCUGGUCGUGCCGGAGUGCCGAAAAGAAUGUCGAACUUGAUCAUCUAGAGGAAGUAAAAGUCGUAACA